rnacentral:rRNA from 1 species
GAUUAUGGCUCAGGACGAACGCUGGCGGCAUGCCUAACACAUGCAAGUCGAACGGAGUAUCAGGGGCUUGCUCUUGAUACUUAGUGGCGAACGGGUGAGUAACGCGUGAGCAACCUGCCUUCAAAACCGGGAUAACACAGAGAAAUUUGUGCUAAUACCGGAUAAGACCACAGUGUCGCAUGACACAGUGGUAAAAAACUCAGGUGAUUGAAGAGGGGCUCGCGACCCAUUAGCUGGUUGGCGGGAUAACAGCCCACCAAGGCGACGAUGGGUAGCCGACUUGAGAGAGUGAUCGGCCACACUGGAACUGAGACACGGUCCAGACUCCUACGGGAGGCAGCAGUGGGGAAUAUUGGGCAAUGGAGGAAACUCUUUAACCCCAGCAAUGCCGCGUGAGUGAAGAAGGUCGUAAGAUUGUAAAGCUCUUUAAUUGGGGACGAAGACAGUGACGGUACCCAAAGAAUAAGCCCCGGCUAACUACGUGCCAGCAGCCGC